UGGGGAAUAUUGGACAAUGGGCGCAAGCCUGAUCCAGCCAUGCCGCGUGAGUGAUGAAGGCCCUAGGGUUGUAAAGCUCUUUCACCGGUGAAGAUAAUGACGGUAACCGGAGAAGAAGCCCCGGCUAACUUCGUGCCAGCAGCCGCGGUAAUACGAAGGGGGCUAGCGUUGUUCGGAUUUACUGGGCGUAAAGCGCACGUAGGCGGACUAUUAAGUCAGGGGUGAAAUCCCGGGGCUCAACCCCGGAACUGCCUUUGAUACUGGUAGUCUUGAGUUCGAGAGAGGGGAGUGGAAUUCCGAGUGUAGAGGUGAAAUUCGUAGAUAUUCGGAGGAAAACCAGUGGCGAAGGCGGCUCACUGGCUCGAUACUGACGCUGGGGUGCGAAAGCGUGGGGAGCAAACAGG
rnacentral:rRNA from 1 species